CAAAGAUUCUGCCGAAUUCAAGUUUUCUGUUCCUCCUCGUUCGACAUUUUGUCAUUGUGCCAUUUUUGGGUAUAUUUUUGGGUUAUUCUAGGAUCUUUUCUGUUCGGGUUUUUUUAUAAAGAGUUUCGAGUUUUUUUCGCUUUUCCUUCGCAUUGCAGGGCCAGCAGGUGUUAAGUAUUUGUGGCUCAAAUUUCGAUCGGAUUCAGAGUCUGGGUUUCGAGUGAUUUUGCUUUUCGCACGCAUUUCGUUGCCGGCACUCUUGAUAUUUGCGGAGAAGGCUUUGCAGAAUUUGUCCAAAGAGGCGACCGGCAUUAUAAUCAAAGAAGAAGCAUCGACGAGCGGCACUGCACAGGUGCCCAUAGACGCGAGCUGUUGCUGUUUCUCAGCCUAAGAGAGAGGGAGAUAGAAAAAAAAACGAA